AAAUAAGAAGUAAAAUUUACAUUUAGUUUCGACCUAAAAAAUUGGCUAUUGCCCUUAUUUA
rnacentral:tRNA from 1 species